AGUGAACGCUGGCGGUAGGCCUAACACAUGCAAGUCGAACGGCAGCACAGUAAGAGCUUGCUCUUACGGGUGGCGAGUGGCGGACGGGUGAGGAAUACAUCGGAAUCUACUUUUUCGUGGGGGAUAACGUAGGGAAACUUACGCUAAUACCGCAUACGACCUACGGGUGAAAGCAGGGGAUCUUCGGACCUUGCGCGAUUGAAUGAGCCGAUGUCGGAUUAGCUAGUUGGCGGGGUAAAGGCCCACCAAGGCGACGAUCCGUAGCUGGUCUGAGAGGAUGAUCAGCCACACUGGAACUUAGACACGGUCCAGACUCCUACGGGAGGCAGCAGUGGGGAAUAUUGGACAAAGGGCGCAAGCCUGAUCCAGCCAUACCGCGUAGGUGAAGAAGGCCUUCGGGUUGUAAAGCCCUUUUGUUGGGAAAGAAAAGCAGCAGGUUAAUACCCCGCUGUUCUGACGGUACCCAAAGAAUAAGCACCGGCUAACUUCGUG
rnacentral:rRNA from 1 species